rnacentral:rRNA from 1 species
CAGCCGCCGCGGUAAUACGUAGGUGGCAAGCGUUGUCCGGAAUUAUUGGGCGUAAAGGGCUCGCAGGCGGUUUCUUAAGUCUGAUGUGAAAGCCCCCGGCUCAACCGGGGAGAGUCAUUGGAAACUGGGAAACUUGAGUGCAGAAGAGGAGAGUGGAAUUCCACGUGUAGCGGUGAAAUGCGUAGAGAUGUGGAGGAACACCAGUGGCGAAGGCGACUCUCUGGUCUGUAACUGACGCUGAGGAGCGGAAGCGUGGGGAGCGAACAGGAUUAGAUACCCGCGUAGUCCCUGUCUCUUAUAC